rnacentral:rRNA from 1 species
GAUGAACGCUGGCGGCGUGCCUAAUACAUGCAAGUCGAGCGAACAGACGAGGAGCUUGCUCCUCUUACGUUAGCGGCGGACGGGUGAGUAACACGUGUAUAACCUACCUAUAAGACUGGGAUAACUUCGUGAAACCGGAGCUAAUACCGGAUAAUAUAUUGAACCGCAUGGUUCAAUAGUGUAAGACGGUUUUGCUGUCACUUAUAGAUGGAUCCGCGCCGCAUUAGCUAGUUGGUAAGGUAACGGCUUACCAAGGCAACGAUGCGUAGCCGACCUGAGAGGGUGAUCGGCCACACUGGAACUGAGACACGGUCCAGACUCCUACGGGAGGCAGCAGUAGGGAAUAUUCCGCAAUGGGCGAAAGCCUGACGGAGCAACGCCGCGUGAGUGAUGAAGGUCUUCGGAUCGUAAAACUCUGUUAUUAGGGAAGAACAAAUGUGUAAGUAACUAUGCACGUCUUGACGGUACCUAAUCAGAAAGCCACGGCUAACUACGUG